GUAAAAUGUUAUGGUGAUGAAAUAUGAUCAACAUGAGGAAUCUCUCUACAACUACUGCCUCCGCAGCAUCGAGAUCAGAUGACGUCAUGAAGAUCAAGCAUCCGAAGAGCAUCGCGUACGAAGACUGGAAGGAAUAGCAUCUCUAGACGAUGUAUUAACAGAGGAACUAUGUCCGUGCUACAGACGAACCUUCCUAUAUAGAGUGACCCAGCACUCGUGUGGUCUCACUGUCUCACUUUUGGUGAGUAUAUCCAGCAAUUUGUAUUGCUUCUACCAUCUACCUAGGCCACUAGAUACACGCAAUUCAACCACAUUCACCAACACCUUUCUACUGAAAUCCCUGAGAAAGAAGAAGUGUUGACUUCUCAGUUCAUCGUAGUGUAGUCCGCUGUUGGUGUAAGCGAUGAGUUUCGUGAUCUAGUACCACCUAUCUAUGCUUCCCUGAGCACCUUUCUAUUCUUUUACUCUAAACAGAGUCUGAAAAACAUUUGGCCGUAGUGCUCGAAUUCAAAUUCGCAACACUAGGACUAUUACCACACAAAAACAAAUAAACAACCAGUCAAAAGCUGGGUUUUGGCUGGGAGAACAACAUUGUAGAAAAAUCUAGGAAUUCUUACCUAAAAGAAUUAGAUUUUCUAAAUGGUUCAGUAAUAAAAACUGUCUCCGACAUUCAAACGUUAGCUUGUAUGUGGAAACUAGACUCCUCUCUCGUGUGAAAAACUUCACUAGGCAUGUUUUUCUACAUCUCCUGUUUUGCAUCUCUUUUCGCUUCAUUUUUCUUGUUCUAAUUUCAUUCUACUCUUGCAAACUCUCAUUUAUUUCCAUUCAUGAAUUGUUUCAUUUAACUAAUCUAAACUUUUCUCUCAUUAUAGCUCAUUCAACUGAACGAUGACGACAAGAGUAAUUACCGACUCAGGACGUUUUCUGCACGCCAAUUCGCAAUGAAAUUAGAAUUGAAAAAGAACUAUUUAAGAGCUAAAAGUAUCACAGGUUAGAAUUUGAUAACCUAGUAAAUUGAAAAAUGCUAUAAACUUUGAAAACCUAGUAAAUUUAAAAAUCCUAUUUGCACACGCUUCAAAAGAAGCACACAAAAUUUGUUGUAAAUAAAAAUUAUCGUUCUUUUUGGCCUUUUCAUAUCACACACAUCCGAAAUCACAUCACAACACACUAAAAUUGUUUCAAACAAAAGUAAAAAGUUAAAAAUGACUAGUAUUGAGUUCUAAUGUUCUUUUUGAACAAUCGUUUGUUUAUGUUCAUUGUGUUUCUGGACAACAAAACCCCUCCGUCGCAAAUGAAAUGAUUUUGCGAACUGUGUUAGAAGAAAGAGUAAGUCC